rnacentral:rRNA from 1 species
AGAGUUUGAUCCUGGCUCAGGACGAACGCUGGCGGCGUGCCUAACACAUGCAAGUCGAACGCUGUCCAUUCGGUGGCAACACUGAUGAAGACGGAGUGGCGAACGGGUGAGUAGCACGUGAGCAACCUGCCCCGAAGACCGGGACAACACCGGGAAACCGGUGCUAAUACCGGAUGCCCCCACCGGGCCGCAUGACCUGGUGAGGAAAUGGAUUCCGCUUCGGGAGGGGCUCGCGGCCUAUCAGCUAGUUGGUGGGGUAACGGCCUACCAAGGCGUCGACGGGUAGCUGGUCUGAGAGGACGAUCAGCCACACUGGGACUGAGACACGGCCCAGACUCCUACGGGAGGCAGCAGUGGGGAAUCUUGCGCAAUGGGCGAAAGCCUGACGCAGCAACGCCGCGUGAGGGACGAAGGCUUUCUGAGUUGUAAACCUCUUUCAGCAGGAACGAUAGUGACGGUACCUGCAGAAGAAGCACCGGCCAACUACGUGCCAGCAGCCGCGGUGAUACGUAGGGUGCAAGCGUUGUCCGGAUUUAUUGGGCGUAAAGAGCUCGUAGGCGGUUUGAUAAGUCGGAUGUGAAACCCCCAGGCUUAACCUGGGGCCGCCAUUCGAUACUGUCAUGGCUAGAGUCCGGUAGGGGGACCAUGGAAUUCCUGGUGUAGCGGUGAAAUGCGCAGAUAUCAGGAGGAACACCAGUGGCGAAGGCGGUGGUCUGGGCCGGUACUGACGCUGAGGAGCGAAAGCGUGGGGAGCGAACAGGAUUAGAUACCCUGGUAGUCC